rnacentral:lncRNA from 1 species
UUUUUUUUUUUUUUUUUUUUUGAGACAGAGUCUUGCUCUGUCGCCCAGGCCUGGAAUGCAGUGGCCAUCUCGGCUCACUGCAAGCUACCUACUGGGUUCACGCCAUUCUCCUGCCUCAGCCUCCCACGUAGCUGGGACUACAGGUGCCCGUCACCAUGCCCAGCUAAUUUUUUGUCUUUUUAGUAGAGACAGGGUUUCACCGUGUUAGCCAGGAUGGUCUCGAUCUCCUGAUCUGCCUGUCUCGGCCUCCCAAAGUGCUGGGAUUACAGACGUGAGCCACGCCCAGCCUCAGUCUUGCAUCUUAAACCUGCAUCCCACAUUGCUGGUUUCCAGGGGCAGGAAGGACACCCUGGACCUCCUUCUCCCUUAAGACUAGCACAGCCCUCCCUGUGCCACUCCACCCCAGGGCAGCACCUCCUGACAUGGGAGGAAUCGGUUCUGUAACUCACAGUCAAGGAGUGGGUAUGCCCAGGAGGCUGUGGAUUUUGGGAUGAAGGAGGUGAGGGGGAGACUGGAGCUCCUGGGAGAGCACUCACAGGGCUGGUCUCUCCCGGUUCCCUUGCCCAGACUUCAAAAAUAGUAAGACUUUUGUGACUCCGAGUGAGUCGUUCUCCCUCUCAAUGGUUUCAUCCAUAAUGAUGAGUGCAUGGACUGAACUCUUGUCUGCCCUCAUGGUGGCUUCUGACCAAGCCCUGGAGAGAACUCAAGAGGUCAGGAGCCAAGAGGGAGGGAGGACACAACUGGAACAGGCAACCCCUGAACCAGGUGGUUAAACCAGUCCUGCCUGGGACUGAGCCUCAAAUGCUAAGUGAAAGUGAGGUCCUCAGGCUUCCCUGGGGGCCCCAGGGCAGAGUGUCAGAGCCUCCUCUGAGGGCACCUGAGAGGGGCAGAGAGAUUACAGGUACACAGCCCUGAGCUGGGGGCAUACGAGCUGUUUGAAGCUCCUGUGCCCCCGACGUUUCCGCAUUUGGGGCACAAUUUCUCGACCCUGGCACUAUUGAUAUUUCGGAACAAAUAAUUCUUUUCUGCAGGAGCUGUCCUAGCCAUUGUAGGAAGUUUAGCAGCAUCCGAGCCUCCACUCACUGGGUGACAGUAGCAUGUCCCUCCCCUCCAUUGUGACCACCAAGGAGUGUCUUUACACGCUGCCCAGUGUCUCCUGACAUUGGCAAAAUCAUUCUCCAUUGAGAACCACUGAUUUAGAGCCAGAAGAGUAUAUAUAUAUAUAUAGUCUUUUUCUGGCUUUGUCUCUUUUUAUUUGUCCUAUAUCUUUCUGUGUUUUGCUCAGUUUUUCCUCUCUUACUGCCUUACUGUCACUGUGCAAGAGUAUCUCUGCUCCCUUGGUCUUAGUCUCUGUGGUGAGGGGUGUGUAUGUGUGUGUGUAGUGUGUGCGCACAUGCAUCGCAUGUGUGUGGUAUUUUGGGGGUGUACUGGUGUAUUUGUAUAGUGUGUGGUAUUUUGGGGGUGUACUGGUGUAUUUGUAUAGUGUGUGUGGUAUAUGGGUUGUGGUAUGUCAAGUGUCAGUGUGUGGUGGGGGAGGUUUGUAUGUGUGAGGUGUGAGGUGUGUGUGCAUGUGUUCAUUGCAAGAUAUGUAUGUGUUGUGUGGUGUCUGUGUGUGUGACAUCUGUGUAGGUGUGUUGUUUGUGAUGUGUGUUGUAUAUGUGGUUUAUGUGUUUGUGUGUUGUGUGUGGUAUGUGUGUCGCAUUUGUGUAGGUAAUGUGUAGGUGUGUGUUGUGUGGUGUGCAUGUGUGUGUACUUUAUAUGUAGUGUGUGCAUGUGUUGU